CCUACGGGCGGCAGCAGUGAGGAAUAUUGGUCAAUGGACGCAAGUCUGAACCAGCCAAGCCGCGUGCAGGAAGACGGCUCUAUGAGUUGUACACUGCUUUUGUAAGAGGGUAAACUCAGAUACGCGUAUCUGUCUGAAAGUAUCGUACGAAUAAGGAUCGGCUAACUCCGUGACAGCAGCCGCGGUAAUACGGAGGAUUCAAGCGUUAUCCGGAUUUAUUGGGUUUAAAGGGUGCGUAGGCGGUCGGAUAAGUUAGAGGUGAAAUGCCGAGGCUCAACUUCGGAAUUGCCUCUGAUACUGUUCGGCUAGAGCGUAGUUGCGGUAGGCGGAAUGUAUGGUGUAGCGGUGAAAUGCUUAGAGAUCAUACAGAACACCGAUUGCGAAGGCAGCUUACCAAGCUACUUCUGACGUUGAGGCACGAAAGCGUGGGGAGCAAACAGGAUUAGAUACCCCUGUAGUC
rnacentral:rRNA from 1 species